rnacentral:lncRNA from 1 species
GGCAGCCACAGCUACUGCUCCAGCCUCUCCUGUGAGACAGCUGGGCGCAGCCUGCUGAGUCAAAAGUAUCUCAGCCAAAGGUACAGAUACUGGAUUUAUUGGUCAGCUCAGGACGCCUGACCUGAGAGAAAGCAGGGCCGCCAGUGCACCCUGGGAAAUUCCAAUCACCAUGGCUGGGGGCCAGAGCAAAGGGCAAUUAGCAGUGUGAAGACACUAAUGAUGUAAUUAAAAGGUGUAAAUACAAGAAGCCAGUACAU